rnacentral:rRNA from 1 species
CCUACGGGAGGCAGCAGUGAGGAAUAUUGGUCAAUGGGCGGGAGCCUGAACCAGCCAAGUCGCGUGAGGGAAGACGGUCCUAUGGAUUGUAAACCUCUUUAGGCGGGGAGCAAUGCCGGGCACGUGUGCCCGGAGGGAGAGUACCCGCAGAAUAAGCAUGGCCUAACUCCGUGCCAGCAGCCGCGGUAAUACGGAGGAGGCGAGCGUUAUCCGGUUGUAUUGGGUUGAAAGGGUGCGUAGGCGGAUUUUUAAGUGAGGGGUAAAUGUCCGGGCUCAACCCGGGCCGGCCGUUGAAACUGGGGAUCUUGAGUGGGCUAGAAGUAUGCAGAAUGCGAGGUGUAGCGGUGAAAUGCAUAGAUAUCUCGCAGAACUCCGAUUGCGAAGGCAGCAUACCGGCGACCGACUGACGCUGAAGCACGAAAGCGUGGGUAUCGAACAGGAUUAGAUACCCGAGUAGUC